GUAUAGGGCCAUGCCACCCUGAACAAGCCUGAUCCUGUCUGAUCUCGGAAGCUAAGCAGGGUCAGGUCUGGUUAGUACUUGGAUGGGAGACCAGCUAGGAAGACCAGGUGCUGUAGGCA
rnacentral:rRNA from 1 species